rnacentral:rRNA from 1 species
GAUGAAUGCUGGCGGCGUGCCUAAUACAUGCAAGUCGAGCGGUAAGGCCCUUCGGGGUACACGAGCGGCGGACGGCUGAGUAACGCGUGGGAACAUGCCCCAAAGUGAGGGAUAACGCACCGAAAGGUGUGCUAAUACCGCAUAUGGUCUUCGGAUUAAAGGAUUUAUCCGCUUUGGGAGUGGCCCGCGUACGAUUAGAUUGUUGGUGAGGUAACGGCUCACCAAGUCGACGAUCGUUAACUGGUCUGAGAGGAUGAUCAGUCAGACUGGAACUGAGACACGGUCCAGACUCCUACGGGAGGCAGCAGUAAGGAAUCUUCCAC